GAUGAACGCUGGCGGCGUGCCUAAUACAUGCAAGUCGAACGAACAGACGAGGAUCUUGCGCCGCUGACGUUAGCGGCGGACGUGUGAGUAACACGUGUAUAACCUACCUAUAAGACUGAGAUAACUUCGGGACACCGGAGCUAAUAGCGGAUAAUAUAUUGAACCGCGGGGUUCAAUAGUAAAAGACGGCUUUGCUGUCACGUAUAGCUGCAUCUGCGCCGGAUUGGCUAGUUGUGAAGGUAACGGGUUACCACGGCGACGAUGCGUAGCCGAGCUGACGGGGGGAUCGGCGACACGAGAACGGGGACACGGUCCAUGCGACUACGAGAGGCAGCAGUAGGCAAUGGGCGGCAGUGGGCGAAAGCCUGACGCAGCGGCGGCACGCGAGUGAUGAAGGUCUUCGGAUCGUAAAACUCUGUUAUGAGGGAAGAACAACUGUGUACGGAGACAAACACGGCGUGACGGUACCGGGUAAGGAAGCCCCGGCUAACUACGUG
rnacentral:rRNA from 1 species